CAUUUCAACUGAACUGUCAUAAUAUACAAAAAGAAGAGUUUUGUACGAUUUUAGUUGUUGAUAUAUUGUUGAGUUGUAACAAUUAACCGGAAUACUUAUCGGAGAUUUCACCAGCUCAACUAAAGUAAUCCAAAGUUCGACUUGUUUACUAAGGCAUGUCGCUAGUGAAUAUGUUGGUGAUAUAAGGAAAUUAUUAAAGUCUUGUUCUGAUUCCGACAAUUAAUUAAAAACAAACACAAUGAGUGAUCGUAAAGAGCAGCGUGACCAACAGCAGUUACUGACGGAAAUACCGAGUAGCCCGAUUGGCCUGAUUGGUUGUUAGAGGGUUCUAUACGAUUGAAGAUGCCCUCAUCGUUGAUAUGGUUGAUAUGCUAGUUAGAAAUCCUUGUAUGAAAGAGGACGAUGUUUGCGAGCUGCUGAAAUUCGAACGAAAACAGUUGCGCGCUCAGAUCUUCAUAUUUGAAACGGAUAAAUUUCUUCAAAUUCGGUGAAAAUGGAAACUGGACCGGAUGGUAAAGCUGCCAAAGUAAACUAUUACUUCAUAAAUUACAAAACAUUCGUCAAUGUUGUCAAAUACAAAUUGGAUCUGAUGCGAAAGCGAAUGGAAACUGAAGAACGGGACGCCACCAGUCGAGCUAGUUUCAAGUGUCCCAAUUGCAAUAAAACAUUCACCGAUUUGUAGGCCGAUCAAUUCGAUUUUCAAACGGGUGAAUUUCAUUGCACAUUCUGUGGGAGCACGGUUGAAGAAGACAUAUCGGCGCUACCGAAAAAGGACUCUCGUUUAUUAUUCCGUUGGUGUGUCAUAGAGAAAAGCAACAACAUUGUACUUUUCUCAACAAAUUUGAAGUUGUAAUGUCAACGAACUCGCAAGGUUUACUAUCUGCAUUGUCGUCAUUACCGCUUACAUUCAAACAGCGACAAGAGUUGAAUAAGCAAUUCGGAAGCGUGGAGGCUGCAAGGGAUGAAGUUCAACCACUCGAUAAUUCUGUAUUUCCCAACAGUUCGGACAUUCAGGAUUCAAAGGAAAGCCAGUGGAGGUCGGUCAAGAAAUUUUUCUGUUCUCAGCACUGCAACUGGUUGAUGAAGCAUAUCCUAUGCCCUUGCAAGGUGAACUGGCAAAUCAUUUCAAAGAUUUUGUUAUGACCAAAAGUGAAUAUGUGACAGUGACACCAUCAAGUCCCAUGUUUGGUUUGGAUUGUGAAAUGUGUUACACAAGCGUCUGCUGUAACGAAGUUACUCCGAUAUCCAUUGCCGACGAGAAGUACGAAAGCAUUUAUGAAACACUGGUACUGCCGAAGGACAAAAUUCUAAACUACUUGACACCGUACUCUGGCAUUACAGCAGAGAUGAUGACAAAUGUAACCAAGACACUAGAGCAAGUUCAGGAAGACGUUGAGCAAUUUUUACAGAUGACAUUUUGGUGGGCCAAUCUUUGAAUUGCCACUUGAUGGCAUGCAAAUUGAUGCAUCCAUAUGUGAUCGGCAAGAGCGUCAUAGUCAAAAGGAAUGUGUUUCGGCAACGAGUAUCUGAAGAGCCGUGCAAUAGCCAGUACCGAGACAGAAAGAAUGCAAGCAAAACGUCAAAAGAUUUCGAACUGUUCAGAUAACUGGAA